CUACGUGCCAGCAGCCGCGGUAAUACGGAGGGUGCGAGCGUUAAUCGGAAUAACUGGGCGUAAAGGGCACGCAGGCGGUGACUUAAGUGAGGUGUGAAAGCCCCGGGCUUAACCUGGGAAUUGCAUUUCAUACUGGGUCGCUAGAGUACUUUAGGGAGGGGUAGAAUUCCACGUGUAGCGGUGAAAUGCGUAGAGAUGUGGAGGAAUACCGAAGGCGAAGGCAGCCACCUGGGAUAACACUGACGUUCAUGCUCGAAAGCGUGGGUAGCAAACAGGAUUAGAUACCCUGGUAGUCCACGCCCUAAACGAUGUCAAUUAGCUGUUGGGCAACUUGAUUGCUUAGUAGCGUAGCUAACGCGUGAAAUUGACCGCCUGGGGAGUACGGUCGCAAGAUUAAAACUCAAAGGAAUUGACGGGGACCCGCACAAGCGGUGGAUGAUGUGGAUUAAUUCGAUGCAACGCGAAGAACCUUACCUGGUCUUGACAU
rnacentral:rRNA from 1 species